rnacentral:rRNA from 1 species
GUCAACGGUCACAGCGGAGGGGCCACACCUGCACUCAUUCCGAACGCAGAAGUUAAGCCCUCCAGCGAUUAAGACGGUACUGCAUAAGAUGUGGGAACUCUUGGACGCUGUUGGCC